GUGUGUCAGUCUUCAGAGGGAAACCCUUUAAAACCAACAGAGGAUCUCACAGUCAUCACAUCAGAAGAACAUCACACUUCACUCGAAAGCAUAAACCUAAUGAAAUUGCAAACACAGUAGAGAGGAGUCUGACAUCAGCAGUGCUGUUGAACCUGUGAUGAUGCUCUGCACCACUAGAAGGGAUCUUCAACGACCCCAUUCAUGGUCACAUUGAGCUGCACCCCCUGCUGGUGAAGAUCAUAGACACUCCUCAGUUUCAGAGACUCCGACACAUCAAGCAGCUCGGAGGGAUAUAUCUGGUGUUUCCAGGAGCUUCUCACAAUCGCUUUGAACACUCUCUUGGUGUGGCGUAUUUAGCAGGUUGUCUGGUCAAGAUUCUUCAUGACAAUCAGCCGGAGCUCAAAAUCACCAAACAGGAUUUCCUGAGUGUUCAGAUCGCUGGACUGUGUCACGACUUGGGCUCUUCUAUGAUAGUUGCUGUUUCUGUGGGUUUGAUCCUGCUGGCUGUGUGUUUAGCGCUCGUGUUGCUCAAAAUAAAAUACAACCGUAAACAUGGCAUCGGUUCAUCGACUCCAGCACAAUUACCCACAAUCCCCUCUGAUUGGCUCCUGUGCACGUCUGUCAGUUUCCAGAAGCAUGAAGAGUCUCUCAGUGACGCUGCUCUCGCCUUCAGUAAUGAGGAGAUUCACUCGGAUUACACCACGGUCAUUUACCACAUUGUGCCAAAUUCAUUUUAGUUCAGCCUAAAGAAACUCUGGGCUUAUUUUACACCAUCACACUGAUGUUAUUACAUGCUAUUCUGCUUCAGCUCUCUAUCCAUUGCUAAAUUACAUGUAUGUGUUUGUAUGUAUAUUUAAGUGUUUAGUUAAUAAAGUCUUGU